rnacentral:rRNA from 1 species
UACGUAGGGUGCAAGCGUUAAUCGGAAUUACUGGGCGUAAAGCGUGCGCAGGCGGUUAUGUAAGACAGACGUGAAAUCCCCGGGCUCAACCUGGGAACUGCGUUUGUGACUGCAUAGCUAGAGUACGGUAGAGGGGGGUGGAAUUCCGCGUGUAGCAGUGAAAUGCGUAGAUAUGCGGAGGAACACCGAUGGCGAAGGCAGCCCCCUGGACCUGUACUGACGCUCAUGCACGAAAGCAUGGGGAGCAAACAGG